rnacentral:rRNA from 1 species
CAGUAGCCACGGUAAUACAGAGGGUGCGAGCGUUAAUCGGAUUUACUGGGCGUAAAGCGUGAGUAGGCGGCUUUUUAAGUCGGAUGUGAAAUCCCUGAGCUUAACUUAGGAAUUGCAUUCGAUACUGGGAAGCUAGAGUAUGGGAGAGGAUGGUAGAAUUCCAGGUGUAGCGGUGAAAUGCGUAGAGAUCUGGAGGAAUACCGAUGGCGAAGGCAGCCAUCUGGCCUAAUACUGACGCUGAGGUACGAAAGCAUGGGGAGCAAACAGGAUUAGAUACCCCAGUAGUCUCUGUCUCUUAUAC